GUAUGUAUGCUUAGUUACUGGUGUUGAUCGUUUUUAUCUUGUCCUUCUGAUCUGCAAUGUCUUUCUGAUUUUGUAUAUCUGUGCUAGCUAUCGCCGAUCGUUUUAUUGAAGCUCUGCUUUGGUGCAUUCUAAUUGAAGCUCAGUCUCACAGUAGUCAUUCUAAGUUGACCCGAAGAGUUUGUAGAAAUUUGGAGUUGCCUUUGAAGUUUGAAGUUUGGAAUCAAAACGAUAUAAACUGUACAGUACUUGUCUAUCUAAAUGUUUUGACCAUGUUUAGAUCCAAAGUGACAAUAUCUCAGUACAAGAAAGGCCCUCCAACAACAAAUUAUA